AGUGAACGCUGGCGGCGUGCCUAAUACAUGCAAGUCGAACGGAGUGGCGCACGGGUGAGUAAUAUAUAGCUAAUCUGCCCCUUGCUGGAGGACAACAGUUAGAAAUGACUGCUAAUACUCCAUAGCAAGGGAUGAGACUAUAUCGUAUCAGCUAGUCGGUGGGGUAACGGCCUACCGAUGGUAUGACGCGUAACUGGUCUGAGAGGAUGAUCAGUGGACUUGGAACUGACACACGGUCCAAACUUCUACGGCAAGCAGCAGUAGGGUAUAUUGCGCAAUGGGGGGAAGGCUGACGCAGCGACGCAGCGUGGAGGAUGACACUUUGCGGGGCGUGACCUCCUUUUGUUAGGGAAGCGGUACCUAACGAAUAAGCACCGGCUAACUCCGUGCCAGCCGCCGCGGUAAUUC
rnacentral:rRNA from 1 species